rnacentral:rRNA from 1 species
AGUCGAACGGUAACAGGGAUUGCUUGCAAUCCGCUGACGAGUGGCGCACGGGUGCGUAACGCGUAUACAAUCUGCCUUACACUGGGGGAUAGCCUUUAGAAAUGAAGAUUAAUACCCCAUGGUCUAUAGAAGUGGCAUCGCUUUUAUAGUAAAGGUUACGGUGUAAGAUGAGUAUGCGUCCUAUUAGUUUGUUGGUGUGGUAACGGCACACCAAGACUACGAUAGGUAGGGGCCCUGAGAGGGGGAUCCCCCACACUGGUACUGAGACACGGACCAGACUCCUACGGGAGGCAGCAGUGAGGAAUAUUGGACAAUGGGCGAGAGCCUGAUCCAGCCAUGCCGCGUGCAGGAAGACUGCCCUAUGGGUUGUAAACUGCUUUUAUACGGGAAGAAACACUCCUACGUGUAGGAAUUUGACGGUACCGUAAGAAUAAGCAUCGGCUAACUCCGUGCCAGCAGCCGCGGUAAUACGGAGGAUGCAAGCGUUAUCCGGAAUCAUUGGGUUUAAAGGGUCCGUAGGCGGGCAGUUAAGUCAGGGGUGAAAGUUUGCGGCUCAACCGUAAAAUUGCCUCUGAUACUGAUUGUCUUGAAUUAGUGUGAAGUGGUUAGAAUGAGUAGUGUAGCGGUGAAAUGCAUAGAUAUUACUCAGAAUACCGAUUGCGAAGGCAGAUCACUAACACUAUAUUGACGCUGAUGGACGAAAGCGUGGGGAGCGAACAGGAUUAGAUACCCUGGUAGUC